UAGUGGCAGACGGGUGAGUAAUGUAUAGGAAUCUACCUAGUAGUACGGAAUAAUUGUUGGAAACGACAACUAAUACCGUAUACGCCCUACGGGGGAAAAAUUUAUUGCUAUUAGAUGAGCCUAUAUUAGAUUAGCUAGUUGGUGGAGUAAUAGCCUACCAAGGCAAUGAUCUAUAGCUGAUCUGAGAGGAUGAUCAGCCACACUGGAACUGAGAUACGGUCCAGACUCCUACGGGAGGCAGCAGUGGGGAAUAUUGGACAAUGGGCGAAAGCCUGAUCCAGCCAUGCCGCAUGAGUGAAGAAGGCCUUUGGGUUGUAAAGCUCUUUUAGUGAGGAAGAUAAUGACGGUACUCACAGAAGAAGUCCUGGCUAACUCCGUGCCAGCAGCCGCGGUAAUACGGAGAGGGCUAGCGUUAUUCGGAACUAUUGGGCGUAAAGGGCGCGUAGGCUGGUUAAUAAGUUAAAAGUGAAAUCCCGAGGCUUAACCUUGGAAUUGCUUUUAAAACUAUUAAUCUAGAGAUUGAAAGAGGAUAGAGGAAUUCCUGAUGUAGAGGUAAAAUUCGUAAAUAUUAGGAGGAACACCAGUGGCGAAGGCGUCUAUCUGGUUCAAAUCUGACGCUGAAGCGCGAAGGCGUGGGGAGCAAACAGGAUUAGAUACCCUGGUAGUCCACGCUGUAAACGAUGAAUGUUAAAUAUGGGAAGUUUACUUUCUGUAUUACAGCUAACGCGUUAAACAUUCCGCCUGGGGACUACGGUCGCAAGAUUAAAACUCAAAGGAAUUGACGGGGACCCGCACAAGCGGUGGAGCAUG
rnacentral:rRNA from 1 species